rnacentral:misc_RNA from 1 species
GAUGAAGAACGUAGCGAAAUGCGAUAAGUAAUGUGAAUUGCAGAAUUCAGUGAAUCAUCGAAUCUUUGAACGCACCUUGCGCCCGCCAGCACUCUGGCGGGCAUGCCUGUCCGAGCGUCAUUUCAACCCUCAGGGCCCCUUCGGGGGACCUGGCGUUGGGGAUCGGCCCGCCCCCGUGCGGCGCCGUCCCCGAAAUAUAGUGGCGGUCUCGCUGCAGCCUCCCCUGCGUAGUAGCACACCUCGCACUGGAGAGCGGCGCGGCCACGCCGUGAAACCCCCAACUUCUGAAUGUUGACCUCGGAUCAGGUAGGAAUACCCGCUGAACUUAAGCAUAUCAAUAAGCGGAGGA